GACGAACGCUGGCGGCGUGCCUAAUACAUGCAAGUCGAGCGAACAGAUGAGGAGCUUGCUCCUCUGACGUUAGCGGCGGACGGGUGAGUAACACGUGGAUAACCUACCUAUAAGACUGGGAUAACUUCGGGAAACCGGAGCUAAUACCGGAUAAUAUAUUGAACCGCAUGGUUCAAUAGUGAAAGACGGUUUUGCUGUCACUUAUAGAUGGAUCCGCGCCGCAUUAGCUAGUUGGUAAGGUAACGGCUUACCAAGGCAACGAUGCGUAGCCGACCUGAGAGGGUGAUCGGCCACACUGGAACUGAGACACGGUCCAGACUCCUACGGGAGGCAGCAGUAGGGAAUCUUCCGCAAUGGGCGAAAGCCUGACGGAGCAACGCCGCGUGAGUGAUGAAGGUCUUCGGAUCGUAAAACUCUGUUAUUAGGGAAGAACAAAUGUGUAAGUAACUAUGCACGUCUUGACGGUACCUAAUCAGAAAGCCACGGCUAACUACGUG
rnacentral:rRNA from 1 species